rnacentral:rRNA from 1 species
GACGAACGCUGGCGGCGUGCUUAACACAUGCAAGUCGAACGGUAAGGCCCUUCGGGGUACACGAGUGGCGAACGGGUGAGUAACACGUGGGUGAUCUGCCCUGCACUUCGGGAUCAGCCUGGGAAACUGGGUCUAAUACCGGAUAGGACUCCUGGCUUCAUGGUUGGGGGUGGCAAGCUUUUGCGGUGUGGGAUGGGCCCGCGGCCUAUCAGCUUGUUGGUGGGGUAAUGGCCGACCAAGGCGACGACGGGUAGCCGGCCUGAGAGGGUGACCGGUCACACUGGGACUGAGAUACGGCCCAGACGCCUACGGGAGGCAGCAGUGGGGAAUAUUGCACAAUGGGCGCAAGCCUGAUGCAGCGACGCCGCGUGAGGGAUGACGGCCUUCGGGUUGUAAACCUCUUUCAGCUAUGACGAAGCGCAAGUGACGGUAGUAGCAGAAGAAGGACCGGCCAACUACGUGCCAGCCGCCGCCGUAA